rnacentral:rRNA from 1 species
AUUGAACGCUGGCGGCAUGCCUUACACAUGCAAGUCGAACGGCAGCACGGGUGCUUGCACCUGGUGGCGAGUGGCGAACGGGUGAGUAAUACAUCGGAACAUGUCCUGUAGUGGGGGAUAGCCCGGCGAAAGCCGGAUUAAUACCGCAUACGAUCUACGGAUGAAAGCGGGGGACCUUCAGGCCUCGCGCUAUAGGGUUGGCCGAUGGCUGAUUAGCUAGUUGGUGGGGUAGAGGCCUACCAAGGCGACGAUCAGUAACUGGUCUGAGAGGACGAACAGUCACACUGGAACUGAGACACGGUCCAGACUCCUACGGGAGGCAGCAGUGGGGAAUAUUGGACAAGGGGCGAAAGCCUGAUCCAGCCAUGCCGCGUGUGUGAAGAAGGUCUUCGGAUUGUAAAGCACUUUAAGGUGGGAGGAAGGGCAGUAAGUUAAUAUCUUGCUGUUUUGACGUUACCAACAGAAGAAGCACCGGCUAACUUCGUG